UUGAUUGAGGUUUCGGCCAAAUGAUAGGAAUGCUUAGUGGCGGACUGGUGAGUAACGCGUGAGCAACCUGCCUUUCAGUGGGGGACAACAGUUGGAAACGACUGCUAAUACCGCAUAAGCCCACGGUACCGCAUGGUACUGAGGGAAAAGGAUUUAUUCGCUUCAGGAUGGCCUCGCGUCCGAUUAGCUAGUUGGUGAGGUAACGGCCCACCAAGGCGACGAUCGGUAGCCGGACUGAGAGGUUGAACGGCCACAUUGGGACUGAGACACGGCCCAAACUCC
rnacentral:rRNA from 1 species